rnacentral:rRNA from 1 species
AUACGGAGGGUGCAAGCGUUAUCCGGAUUUACUGGGUUUAAAGGGUGCGCAGGCGGUAAUUUAAGUCAGUGGUGAAAGCCUACAGCUCAACUGUAGAACUGCCAUUGAAACUGAAUUACUUGAGUGUGAUAGAGGUAGGCGGAAUACAACAUGUAGCGGUGAAAUGCAUAGAUAUGUUGUAGAACACCGAUUGCGAAGGCAGCUUACUAAACCAUUACUGACGCUCAGGCACGAAAGCGUGGGGAGCGAACAGAAUUAGAAACCCUAGUAGUCC